rnacentral:lncRNA from 1 species
UCCCUCCGUCCACGAAAGAACUUCAUAUCUUUCAUUUUUGGGACGUACACAAAAAAACUUCCUACCUAUUUUUGGACUAUACCCCACAACUUAUAAUUACUUACUUUUCACUUUUUCACAACUCACAAUAUUAAUUAUUACACAUUUCCACCACUUCCAAUACACUCAACAACUUUUUCUUUACUCUCAAUACACUCAACAACCUUUUUCUUAAAAUCCGUGCCACUCCCUCCCAGGAAGUUAUUUCAUGAACGGAGGGAGUACAUUGUAAAAAUAAAAAAAAAAAAUAUAUGGAAAAAUGAAUGAAAGAGAAAAGAAAGAACCGUGACAUUAAAAAAAAUGAGAAAUGAGAGAGAGAGGAGAGAGAGAAAAAAAAUUUGUGAUUUUAAACUAUA